GAGUGAACGCUGGCGGUAGGCCUAACACAUGCAAGUCGAACGGCAGCACAGUAAGAGCUUGCUCUUACGGGUGGCGAGUGGCGGACGGGUGAGGAAUACAUCGGAAUCUACUUUUUCGUGGGGGAUAACGUAGGGAAACUUACGCUAAUACCGCAUACGACCUACGGGUGAAAGCAGGGGAUCUUCGGACCUUGCGCGAUUGAAUGAGCCGAUGUCGGAUUAGCUAGUUGGCGGGGUAAAGGCCCACCAAGGCGACGAUCCGUGGCUGGUCUGAGAGGAUGAUCAGCCACACUGGAACUGAGACACGGUCCAGACUCCUACGGGAGGCAGCAGUGGGGAAUAUUGGACAAUGGGCGCAAGCCUGAUCCAGCCAUACCGCGUGGGUGAAGAAGGCCUUCGGGUUGUAAAGCCCUUUUGUUGGGAAAGAAAAGCAGCAGGUUAAUACCCCGCUGUUCUGACGGUACCCAAAGAAUAAGCACCGGCUAACUUCGUG
rnacentral:rRNA from 1 species